UACGUAGGGGGCAAGCGUUGUCCGGAAUCAUUGGGCGUAAAGAGCGCGCAGGCGGUCGGUCAAGUCGAGUGUGAAAGCCCCCGGCUCAACUGGGAGGGUCAUUCGAUACUGAUCGACUCGAAGGCAGGAGAGGGUAGUGGAAUUCCCGGUGUAGUGGUGAAAUGCGUAGAUAUCGGGAGGAACACCAGUGGCGAAGGCGACUACCUGGCCUGUUCUUGACGCUGAGGCGCGAAAGCUAGGGGAGCAAACGGG
rnacentral:rRNA from 1 species